ACGCCGCGUGAGUGAAGAAGGGUUUCGGCUCGUAAAACUCUGUUGUUAAAGAAGAACAUAUCUGAGAGUAACUGUUCAGGUAUUGACGGUAUUUAACCAGAAAGCCACGGCUAACUACGUGCCAGCAGCCGCGGUAAUACGUAGGUGGCAAGCGUUGUCCGGAUUUAUUGGGCAUAAAGCGAGCGCAGGCGGUUUUUUAAGUCUGAUGUGAAAGCCUUCGGCUUAACCGAAGAAGUGCAUCGGAAACUGGGAAACUUGAGUGCAGAAGAGGACAGUGGAACUCCAUGUGUAGCGGUGAAAUGCGUAGAUAUAUGGAAGAACACCAGUGGCGAAGGCGGCUGUCUGGUCUGUAACUGACGCUGAGGCUCGAAAGUAUGGGUAGCAAACAGGAUUAGAUACCCUGGUAGUCCAUACCGUAAACGAUGAAUGCUAAGUGUUGGAGGGUUUCCGCCCUUCAGUGCUGCAGCUAACGCAUUAAGCAUUCCGCCUGGGGAGUACGGCCGCAAGGCUGAAACUCAAAGGAAUUGACGGGGGCCCGCACAAGCGGUGGAGCAUGUGGUUUAAUUCGAAGCUACGCGAAGAACC
rnacentral:rRNA from 2 species